AUUGAACGCUGGCGGCAGGCUUAACACAUGCAAGUCGAGCGGAGAGAGGUAGCUUGCUACUGAUCUUAGCGGCGGACGGGUGAGUAAUGCUUAGGAAUCUGCCCAUUAGUGGGGGACAACAUUUCGAAAGGAAUGCUAAUACCGCAUACGUCCUACGGGAGAAAGCAGGGGAUCUUCGGACCUUGCGCUAAUAGAUGAGCCUAAGUCGGAUUAGCUAGUUGGUGGGGUAAAGGCCUACCAAGGCGACGAUCUGUAGCGGGUCUGAGAGGAUGAUCCGCCACACUGGGACUGAGACACGGCCCAGACUCCUACGGGAGGCAGCAGUGGGGAAUAUUGGACAAUGGGCGCAAGCCUGAUCCAGCCGUGCCGCGUGUGUGAAGAAGGCCUUAUGGUUGUAAAGCACUUUAAGCGAGGAGGAGGCUACUUUAGUUAAUACCUAGAGAUAGUGGACGUUACUCGCAGAAUAAGCACCGGCUAACUCUGUGCCAGCAGCCGCCGUAA
rnacentral:rRNA from 1 species